rnacentral:rRNA from 1 species
AUGGCGAGCCAAGCUUUCGUGUACCUCGCGCUACUGCUGCUCCUCUGCAGCGCCAGCCAAGGCGACGAGCUGGGAGCAGAUGCGGCGGGCCGGACGCCGUGCCGGGCGGCGGACCUGGUGGUGAGGCAGUCGGCGACGGGGCGGGUCGUGGAGGGGAAGCCGGAGUACGCGGUGGAGGUGACCAACCGCUGCCGGUGCGCGCAGUCCAGGGUGUUGCUCCGCUGCUACGGCCUUAGCAGCGUCGAGGCCGUGGACCCGCGGGCGAUCCGGCCGGUCGACGGCGAGCGCUGCCUGCUCCGGGGCGGCCGGCGGAUCCCGAGCGGCGCGCCGGUGCGGUUCAAGUACGCCUGGAUGACGCCGUUCGACUUCCCACUGGUCAGCUCACAGGUGCACUGCUAG